UUUUAACAAUGGCUCCAUUCGUCAACAUAGCUGAAAUUGUACCAUUACAAAUGAUGGCCUUUGGACCCUGGAAAAUUGUUAGACCUCAAAAGUCUAACAAUUAACAAUGCACCACACACUUCUAGGUCAAUAUCACCUUAAACUGGAGCCAGUGAACAUUUUGGUGGUAGUCUAGGAUGACUGGAAUUAGGACCGUAAAAAGUGGCGGUGAGCGCGGAGAGAACGCCACGAAGGCCUCGGGCACACUACGAGAGUACAAGGUGGUGGGUCUCUGCCUGCCCACCCCCAAAUGCCACACACCGCCCCUCUACCGCCGGCGAAUCUUUGCGCCUGAUCACGUCGUCGCCAAGUCCCGCUUCUGGUACUUCGUAUCUCAGUUAAAGAUGAAGAAGUCUGCUGGGGGCAGGUGUUUGAGAAGUCCCCCCGCCCCUGCGGGUUAGGAACUUCGGCAUCUGGCUGCGCCAUGACUCCAGGAGUGGCACCAAUAUGUACCGGGAAUACCGGGCGCUGUCACCCAGUGCUACCGACACAUGGGCGCCCGGGCCCACUCCACCCAGAUCAUGAAAGUGGAGGAGAUCGCAGCCAGCAAGUGCCACCGGCCUGCUGUCAAGCAGUUCCACGACUCCGGGAUCAAGUUCCCGCUGUGCCACCGCGUCCUGCGCAGUCCAUACAAACUACCCGUCACCACAAGCUACGUGUCACCACCAAGAGGCCCAACACCUUCUAG